ACCAGCAGCUAAACAUGCCUACCGUAGAUAGCACCAGAUGCUAGGAAGGAAGGACCAUAAUGUACUGGGAGAGAUGGGAAAGGAGAGGCCAGGGACAGCCCUGAGGUGACAUGUGAGUGGAAAGAGCGGAGUGCAAAGGCCUCAGCUAUGAUGAGUCCUACAGGGAGAGCAAUUCAGGUAGAGGGGUUGGCAAAGACCCAAGCCCUACAGAAAGCAAACAAGCUGGGGCAGCGACCAUCAGGGGCACAUGGCAGAGAGGUGGGCUUUGUGUCCCAACACAGUGGGAAUCACUGGAGACUUUGAAGCAUGGUCAUAUUUUCAAGUCACUUGCAGCUGUGUAGGAGUGGAAGUAGAAGCCACCAAUCCUGGACAGAUGCAGGAGCAGCUGUCAGUAGACAGAUAAGAAAAGGAGAUCAGAUUCAAAGUUCCGCAGAGAAGUGGUGAGGUAACCAGUAUUGCCUAGCCUGGACACACAGGCAGCUUGAAACCUCAAGUGCACCAACAGAAAGAGCUCCAGGAAGAAUCAGAGGAGUGGGAUGUGAAGCCCCUCGAGGAAGAGUACAGAGAAGGGAGAGAUGAAGUGAGUGAUCCGAUAAAGUGAUAUGUGAAGUCAUCGGCUUGCUGCCAAGCUGCGCACAGGGCUGACCCUAGAUGCACAUCGCAGGUCCCAGAUUGACCGGUGUAGACACAGGACUAAUAUGACUAGUAGUGCAAACACUUUAAACAGUCAACAUUCUGCUUAGGAUUUAAACAAGGUCCAGAGUCUCAACAUAAUAUUUAAAAUAUCCAGGUUAUCCAAAAUAACCCAGAGUAUGAAAACCAGGAAAAUCUCAACAUGGGAGAAAAGAAGAUGAUCAAUACAUGCCCAUCCUGAGAUGAUUCAACUAUUGGAAUGAUCAGAUACAGACUUCAAAGCAGCUAUUUAUAACCAGCCUUCAGAAAGUAUUGGUGAAUAUUCUUAAACAAAAUGGAAAUGACAAAGGAUGGAGUCCAUAAAUUAGAUGAUAGUUUGGAAAAAGAUAUAAACUUACAAACCAAGAAGCUCAGUGAACCACACAACUGGAUAAAUUAACAACAAAAGUCCAAGCUUAGACACAUCAUAAAGAAACUUCUGAAAACUAAAGACCAAGAAAAAUAAGAUCAGCCAGAGAAAAACGAUACAUUUCAUUCAGGUGAACAAUUCUUUGAAAGACUGGAUCUUCACCAGAAACUAUAGAGGCCAGAAAGAAGUGGAACAUUUUUAGUUUUGAAAUAAUUGUCACCCAAGAAUUCUAUAUCCAGUAAAAAUUUCUAUUUUACUGGAAUAAAAGAAUGAAAUAAAAUAAAGACAUUCUCAAAUGAAGGCAAGCUGAGGAAAUUCAUAACCAAAGAAUCUGCUUUAAAAAAAUGUUAAACCAAGUUCUUCAGACAGAAGAGGUUACUGGGGGCAAUUCAAAACUUUGGGAAUGCAGGAAGAACAUCAUAAAUGGCAAAAGUCCACAUAAAUAUGAAACUAUUCUUUACUUCUUUAAGAGUUAUGUGAUGGUUGAAUUAAGUCAUGAUACUGUCUGAUGGAGGCUUCAGUGUAUACAGAUGUAAGACAACUAGAACAUGAGGGGAGAAGGGUGAAGGGACCUAGAUGGUAGUGAGGUUUCUACAUGCUACUUGAAAUGGCAAAACAUUAAUCUAAAUUGACUGUAAGAGUAUGUGUAUUUGGCCGGGCAGGGUGGCUCAUGCCUGUAAUCCCAGCAUUUUGGGAGGCCAAGGUGGGUGGAUCACCUAAAGUCAGGAGUUCGGGACUAGCCUGACCAACAUGGCAAAACCCUGUCUCUAUUAAAAAUACAAAAUUAGCCAGGUGUGGUGGUGCAUGCCUGUAAUCCCAGCUACUCGGGAGGCUGAGGCAGGAGAAUCGUUUGAAAUCGGGAGGCAGAGGUUGCAGUGAGCCAGAUUGUGCCAUUGCACUCCAACCUGGGCGACAAGAGCGAAACUCC
rnacentral:lncRNA from 1 species